GGGCUCUAUUACGGGGCAGUAAGGGUUCCGGGCGGUCGGUGUAGGCUGCGGCCGGGCCCCGGCUUUUCGGACCCGGGACCCGGGGACGGAGGCGGGGCCUGUGGGCCAAGAGUGUCCCGGCGUGACUGCAGAACGGGCGGCUUUCACGGAGGUAAUGAGGAAAAUGUUAGAAGUCAAAGUGCCGAAGGGUGCGGUGAAAAGUAGGCUUCUUGCCUUGCCUUCAGCUUCCUUCAUACAACGCCAUCACCCUCAGAUACCCCGAACUUCGGAUGCUGAGUUUGUAAAUAAGCCUACAGAGGAUUAAUUGCUCACCAGAAUUACUAUUGAC
rnacentral:lncRNA from 1 species